GGCGGUUGGAGUGAGCGAGGCUGCCGUGACCCUGCAUUCACCUAAAGCCUGAGCUGCCAGUCCACCAAGGACAGGAAGAUUAAGCCUGGCCCCGAAAAGGACAUCCACUUGGCUUGCUCGGCCAUGCUUUCAUCGGAAUGCAGAGCUGUAUUCUUUUCUAGCUGUGUAUUAGUGGCCUGCAGAGACUUUGCCCAAACAGCUUUAACGAGAACGAAUGGGAAUUCAUUGUGCUCUUGCGUAACAUUUGUUUACCUAUAUCUCUGUGUGCACUGGAGCAGGGCAGAAUGCGAUGGCUCGGAUUCAGCAGACUGAAUGGAAAGUGCCAGAGGCCCUACAGCGCAACAGCAGAUGGGAAUGGCAGUGUGAAUAUCUCUCUCUCUGUCUCUCUUUCUCUCUCUCUCUCUCUCUGUUAUCACACGCCAUCUCAUCCCACUGAGCAUUGUCAGCCACUCCCUUC
ensembl:lncRNA